CCUACGGGAGGCAGCAGUGGGGGAUAUUGGGCAAUGGAGGAAACUCUGACCCAGCGACGCCGCGUGCGGGAUGAAGGCCUUCGGGUUGUAAACCGCUUUCAGUAGGGAAGAAGCGAAAGUGACGGUACCUACAAAAGAAGCACCGGCUAACUAUGUGCCAGCAGCCGCGGUAAUACAUAGGGUGCAAGCGUUGUCCGGAAUUAUUGGGCGUAAAGAGCUCGUAGGUCGUUUGUUACGUCGGAUGUGAAAACCUGAGGCUCAACCUCAGGCCUGCAUUCGAUACGGGCAAACUAGAGUUUGGUAGGGGAGACUGGAAUUCCUGGUGUAGCGGUGGAAUGCGCAGAUAUCAGGAGGAACACCAAUGGCGAAGGCAGGUCUCUGGGCCAAUACUGACACUGAGGAGCGAAAGUCUGGGGAGCGAACAGGAUUAGAUACCCUGGUAGUCCAGACCGUAAACGGUGGGCACUAGUUGUGGGAACCUUCCACGGUUUCUGCGACGCAGCUAACGCAUUAAGUGCCCCGCCUGGGGAGUACGAUCGCAAGAUUAAAACUCAAAUGAAUUGACGG
rnacentral:rRNA from 1 species